rnacentral:tmRNA from 1 species
GGGGAUGACAGGUUUCGACGGAAUUGCACUUUGACACGUUGCAGGCCGAGUUUGGCUAAAACUCGAAAAACAGAGCCAAAACUUUUAACUGGCACGGGUAAAUCCGUAGCUCCAGUUUAUGGUAAUGGUGUCGCUCCGGCGAUGCUAGUAGCUUAACUGGCAUCCGUAUUGUGUGUUCCUGAUCGCAAAAUACUGGGUGUUAACCUAGUCAGGAUGCUGCUGAUAACCUAAUCAGUAUCAGCUCAAGACUUUGAUUCUUGUAAACGCUAACACUUUUGCUUGUUGAGGAUGUGUUUAUAAGUAAAAUUUUCAACAAACUAAGCUUGUAGAUACGUACAUUGUGUUUUUUUCGGACGAGGGUUCAAAUCCCUCCAUCUCCACUC